CAGUUGAUUUAAAAGCACCAUAAAUCCAGAGAAUGCCAGACUUUGAUGACAAAAUUUGCCCAUGAAGGAUCGCCGCGCCACCUUCUUGUUCAAGUGGGCACAGCACAACAAGAUAUAUCAAGGGAUGACACAGAGACCUCUGGCUCUGAGCAAGACAGUGAGCCAGAGCUGCCAGGAGAUGUCAUCGAGCCCCUCCCAACUGCAUCAAGCACCAGAUAUGCUGUUCCAGAAGGACCCAAUGGGAGGCCAGGCCUAUACUUUAAACUACACAUUUUAGUUAGCAGCUGUUAGUAUCUCAUCUUGUGGAUCCCUUAAUUAUACAUUUCCAUAGAGAUAUGACACAUUAUUUAACGUGUAUUUCAGACAUUUCAAGAUCCAGAGAAGAGGGUCCCUCCUGUACAGCCGUGUUUGAAAACAUUUCCCAGAACUCUGCAUGGUACUAGGAAAGGGGCUUCAAACAGCGCCUGGUAUAAGGACAAUUCAUGGCUUAAAUAUUCUGUAAGUCAAGAUUCAACUUAUUGUUUUACAUGUAGGCAUUUUUCUCUGCCCAAUACACCUGAAUCUGCCUUCACAUCACAGUCAUGUUUCUCUGCCCAAUACACCUGAAUCUGCCUUCACAUCACAGUCAUGUUUCUCUGCCCAAUGCACCUGAAUCUGCCUUCACAUCACAGUCAUGUUUCUCUGCCCAAUGCACCUGAAUCUGCCUUCACAUCACAGUCAUGUUUCUCUGCCCAAUGCACCUGAAUCUGCCUUCACAUCACAGUCAUGUUUCUCUGCCCAAUGCACCUGAAUCUGCCUUCACAUCACAGUCAUGUUUCUCUGCCCAAUGCACCUGAAU